GUUUGAUCCUGGCUCAGAUUGAACGCUAGCGGGAUGCUUUACACAUGCAAGUCGAACGGCAGCACGAAGAAAGCUUGCUUUCUUUGGUGGCGAGUGGCGAACGGGUGAGUAAUGUAUCGGAACGUACCCAGUAGCGGGGGAUAACUACGCGAAAGCGUGGCUAAUACCGCAUACGCCCUACGGGGGAAAGGGGGGGAUCGCAAGACCUCUCACUAUUGGAGCGGCCGAUAUCGGAUUAGCUAGUUGACCGCCUGGGGAGUACGGUCGCAAGAUUAAAACUCAAAGGAAUUGACGGGGACCCGCACAAGCGGUGGAUGAUGUGGAUUAAUUCGAUGCAACGCGAAAAACCUUACCUACCCUUGACAUGUCUGGAAUCCUUUAGAGAUAGAGGAGUGCUCGCAAGAGAACCGGAACACAGGCGCUGCAUGGCUGUCGUCAGCUCGUGUCGUGAGAUGUUGGGUUAAGUCCCGCAACGAGCGCAACCCUUGUCAUUAGUUGCUACGAAAGGGCACUCUAAUGAGACUGCCGGUGACAAACCGGAGGAAGGUGGGGAUGACGUCAAGUCCUCAUGGCCCUUAUGGGUAGGGCUUCACACGUCAUACAAUGGUCGGGACAGAGGGUUGCCAACCCGCGAGGGGGAGCCAAUUUCAGAAACCCGAUCGUAGUCCGGAUUGCAGGCUGCAACUCGCCUGCAUGAAGUCGGAAUCGCUAGUAAUCGCGGAUCAGAAUGUCGCGGUGAAUACGUUCCCGGGUCUUGUACACACCGCCCGUCACACCAUGGGAGUGGGUUUCACCAGAAGUAGGUAGCCUAACCGUAAGGGGGGCGCUUACCACGGUGGGAUUCAUGACUGGGGUGAAGUCGUAACAAGGUAACCAUAG
rnacentral:rRNA from 1 species